rnacentral:rRNA from 1 species
GACGAACGCUGGCGGCGUGCCUAAUACAUGCAAGUCGAGCGAAGUUUUUCUGGUGCUUGUACUAGAAAAAGUUAGCGGCGAACGGGUGAGUAACACGUAAAGAACCUGCCUCAUAGACUGGGACAACUAUUGGAAACGAUAGCUAAUACCGGAUAACAGUAUUUAUCGCAUGAGAGAUAUUUAAAAGUUGGUUAUGCUAAUACUAUGUGAUGGCUUUGCGGUGCAUUAGCUAGUUGGUGGGGUAAAGGCCCACCAAGGCGACGAUGCAUAGCCGACCUGAGAGGGGGAUCGGCCCCCCUGGGACUGAGACACGGCCCAGACUCCUACGGGAGGCAGCAGUAGGGAAUCUUCCGCAAUGGGAGAAAGCCUGCCGGAGCACCGCCCCGUGAGUGAAGAAGGAUUUCGGUUCUUAAAGCUCUGUUGUUAGGGAAGAAUGGAUAUGUAGUAACUAUCCAUGUAAGAGACGGUACCUUACCAGAAAGCCACGGCUAACUACGUG